GGAAGCUCUGUGUGCCCGGGACACGCUCUCUGUCUCUCUCUCGCUCGGUGCUCGGGGAAGGAAGAUGCGCGGGGCUCUGACCCCCGGGCAUCCCCGAGCGGGGAGCCACGUUCGCCGCCGCUCUGCCGCUGUGCCCCGAGCAGCCUGCCACCUCCGGACACCCCUCUGAGCCACAGCAUCUGUGGGACACUGCACUCAGUGGAUCAGCGUCACGGACCCUGAGAAGUACCUGCACAUGGCACAUUGACUUGAAAGUUAAUCAUAGUUCUGGCCCCAUAUGGUUACAGUGAGUCUGCUUCUCUGUCUGUGGGAGUCCUAAAGGAUACUUGAUAGCUGUCCAAUUUCUUGAGUCACAUCCAAGGUCUAAACUAAGUUACAAGAGAUGAAGAAAAAGUCCAUAUGCAAUACCUGCCAUGAGCAACCAGAGAGGGAAACAGGCAUGACCUCUUGCCUCGUCCUCACCGCAUCUAUUCCAGAGCAGCAAACCGUCACAGACAGUAAGCAACUGCAUGUCUGUCUUGGAUGCAACACAUUCCCUCUCUUCUGGAACAAACUGUAAGCAUGAAAUAAUUCGGGACUCAACAGUUUGCUCACACUACUACCUGAAGGCUUCCCUGGGGCAUUAUGAUGUCCUGAUACUUUGUGCAGUUUUCCACCAGCCUCCUGAUCUUCUAGGACCAGAAAGCAUUAUGUGGAUCCUGCCUUGUAAGGAUCUUGGGAUUUUCCAGAAGGCUCUGACCUAGUCAAGAGCAGACUGCAUUUAUAGUCAGUUUAAACUGAGGUGGAGGAAACCUGGACUUCAGAUGCUGGAGAUUUUCAACUUCAAAACACCCUUGGAUAGACUCUAGCAGGCAGAGCCUAGACAGAGCCUGGGAGCCCCAAUUCUUUGUGAGCUUUGCAGUGGUUAAUUUUGGUGAGUGGAUGUUCUGGGUCCUGUGGGUUUCCAUGUACUUUCCUAAAGAUUCUAAACUCACAGAAUUCAGCAAAGCACAUAAAUGGUCUUGGGCUUUGCUGCAGUGGGAGGAACUUCAGACUACAUUUCUGCAAUGCUGUAUGAACCUUCCUUUACCCUUCUACCUCCAUCCAACCACCAGCCAAAAACUGUGAAAUGGGUUCUUGAUGUCAGUGUAGAGUGGCAUGUGAUUCCCUUAUUAUUUGGGGUGAGUUGAGGCUGUAAUCACGAAACCUGGAACUCUGAGGAGAAAGGAGAACAUGCAAUAUUCUUUCAAAAGGUUGCAGAGUUUCCUUAAUAUCUGCUUCCCAGAGCCAUAUGGAAAAUUCCCUAAGCCACCUAAAUGCUUUCCAGAACUUUUACUGCAUGGAAGCAUCCUCAUGACUGUCAUGCAUACUUUGACUUAUAGUCAAAAUUGUUAUUUCCAUUGAUAAUAAUAAGCUGGUUGAUUACUGUCAUUAAUUCCUGGCUGCUAGAAAUGGCAAAUUUUUUUUUCAAAUUUUUCUAAUGACAGGAUAGGAAAUUAAAAGGCUCUACCA